AGGGGUGUAGCUCAAUGGUAGAGUACUAGCUGGACACUUACUCCAAAGUCCUGGGUUCAAUCCACAGCACUGCAA
rnacentral:tRNA from 1 species